CUACGGAAGGCACAGUGGGGAAUUUUGCGCAAUGGGGGAAACCCUGGCGCAGCAACGCCGCGUGAGUGAUGAAGGCUUUCGGGUCGUAAAGCUCUGUCAGAAGGGAAGAAAUGUGGGUGACUAAUAUCCAUUCCACUUGACGGUACCUUCAAAGGAAGCACCGGCUAACUCCGUGCCAGCAGCCGCGGUAAUACGGAGGGUGCGAGCGUUGUUCGGAAUUAUUGGGCGUAAAGCGCGUGUAGGCGGUUUUUUAAGUCUGAUGUGAAAGCCCUGGGCUCAACCUGGGAAGUGCAUUGGAUACUGGAAGACUUGAGUACGGGAGAGGGUAGUGGAAUUCCUAGUGUAGGAGUGAAAUCCGUAGAUAUUAGGAGGAACACCGGUGGCGAAGGCGGCUGCCUGGACCGAUACUGACGCUGAGACGCGAAAGCGUGGGGAGCAAACAGGAUUAGAAACCCCUGUAGUCCG
rnacentral:rRNA from 1 species